GGGCCAGGCGGGGUGGGGGCCUGGGCCACAGUCCCAAGCCCGGGUGCGACUGGCCGCAAGGCCUGGGGGCCCGGGGCGUGGCGGCGGCGAGGCCCGCAUGGCCUGAGGCUGAGGCCUGGGCGGUGGCUCAGGGGCAGCCCCGGGCUUGCGGAACCCGGGCGGGUCUGAAUCGGCGGUUGUGAGCGUUGGCUGCGGGCUAGGCGUUAUCUAGCCCAUCAGAAGCAUUUCUGCACCUUAGAUGCUGCCCUUAUGCCCACUGCACAGAUGAGGAAACUGAGGCUUGGCGAGACGAAGUCACUUUCCCAAGGUCACACUUUCAGGAAUGGUCAGAGCUCUGGCCUGGGACCAUUAGGAAGGAUUUGUACCAUUUCUGUGCCCCUGCUCCCACUUCCAUCCCUCCCUUCACUGGAGAUAAGGACGAGGUGGUGACUGCAUUCUGGUAAACGAAUGAGCUAAAUGCAUACCCCAGCUCACCAGUUCAGGGGCACCAGUUUCUUGGAGCAGGUACGGGUCCCCACCCUCCUGUCUACCUUAGUCCUCAGCUCCCAGGUCCAGGCAGCAUUAGUACCCAUUCUGCCCCCAGGACAUCCGUCUCUACUCCUGCUCUGUUAAGAUACCACCACCCAAACCCCACCCGUUUCUUAUUUUGUUAAAGUCCACAUAGUCCAAUAGCUGUGAUAACGCUGCCAAUUCAUCUCUGCCUCCCCAUCCUACUUACAAGUGUUGACACUGUUUUUUAGGUUGGGAUUUUGUCAGGAUUUUCGUUUUUUCCUAAACUCUUACACAACAGAAUUGUAAUGUUUUUAUGGAUUUUCUGAGUAAUGCUUAGAACCAU